UGGCGACUAAAGGUGGCGAAAUAGGAAGGUUAAGAGAAAAAGAUAUUUCUAAGGUGCUAAACAAACUUUUGGAGGUAAAUUAGCGGCAUGACUAAGUCAGCUGCGGCUGUCAGUCACUCCAGACAAGC
rnacentral:snoRNA from 1 species